rnacentral:rRNA from 1 species
AACGAACGCUGGCGGCAGGCCUAACACAUGCAAGUCGAACGAGUGGCAGACGGGUGAGUAACACGUGGAAUCUUCCUAUGGUAUGGAAUAGCUCAGGGAAACUUGGGGUAAUACCGUAUAAGAUGAGCCCGCGUCUGAUUAGCUAGUUGGUGAGGUAAUGGCUCACCAAGGCGACGAUCAGUAGCUGGUCUGAGAGGAUGAUCAGCCACACUGGGACUGAGACACGGCCCAGACUCCUACGGGAGGCAGCAGUGGGGAAUAUUGGACAAUGGGCGCAAGCCUGAUGCAGCGACGCCGCGUGAGUGAAGAAGGCCUUCGGGUCGUAAAGCUCUUUUCUGCGUGAGGACGGUAGCGCAGGAAUAAGUGUCGGCUAACUACGUGCCAGCAGCCGCGGUAAAACGUAGGACGCAAGCGUUAUCCGGAGUUACUGGGCGUAAAGGGCGUGUAGGCGGCCUGGUAAGUCCGUCGUGAAAGCCCCCGGCUAAACUGGGGGAGGACGAGGGAGACUGCCGGGCAGAGGCAGGUAGAGGGGUAUAGAAUUCCGGGUGUAGUGGUGAAAUGCGUAGAGAUCCGGAGGAAUACCAGAGGCGAAGGCGAUGCCCUGGGCCUGUACUGACGCUGAGACGCGACAGCAUGGGGAGCGAACGGGAUUAGAAACCCCGGUAGUCCAUGCCGUAAACGAUGCCAACUAGGUGUUCGCGCCGAAGCUAACGCGCUAAGUGGC